rnacentral:rRNA from 1 species
CCUACGGGAGGCAGCAUUGAGGAAUAUUGGUCAAUGGACGAGCGUCUGAACCAGCCAAGUAGCGUGAAGGAUGACUGCCCUAUGGGUUGUAAACUUCUCUUAUAAAGGAAUAAAACGAGGCACGUGUGCCUUUUUGCAUGCACUUUAUGAAUAAGGAUCGGCUAACUCCGUGCCAGCAGCCGCGGUAAUACGGAUGAUCCGAUGGUUAUCCGGAUUUAUUGGGUUUAAAGGGAGGGGAGAUGGGUUGUUAAGUCAGUUGUGAAAGUUUGCGGCUCAACCGUAAAAUUGCAAUUGAUACUGGCAGUCUUGAGUACAGUGGAGGUAGGCGGAAUUCGUGGUGGAGCGGUGAAAUGCUUAGAUAUCACGAAGAACCCCGAGUGCGAAGGCAGCUUACUAAACUGUGACUGACAUUGAUGCUCGAAAGUGUGGGUAUCAAACAGGAAUAGAUACCCCUGUAGUC